CCUACGGGCGGCAGCAGUGGGGGAUAUUGGACAAUGGGGGGAACCCUGAUCCAGCGACGCCGCGUGAGUGAAGAAGUAUUUCGGUAUGUAAAGCUCUGUCAGCAGGGAAGAAAGAAAUGACGGUACCUGACUAAGAAGCCCCGGCUAACUACGUGCCAGCAGCCGCGGUAAUACGGAGGGGGCAAGCGUUAUCCGGAAUUACUGGGCGUAAAGGGAGCGUAGAGGGUUCAGGAAGUCUGGUGUGAAAGCCCGGGGCUCAACCCCGGGACUGCUCUUGAAACUAUUGAACUUGAGUGCAGGAGAGGUAAGCGGAAUUCCUGGUGUAGCGGUGAAAUGCGUAGAUAUUAGGAGGAACACCAGUGGCGAAGGCGGCUUACUGGACUGUAACUGACGUUGAGGCUCGAAAGCGUGGGGAGCAAACAGGAUUAGAUACCCUUGUAGUC
rnacentral:rRNA from 1 species